AUCGACUAGCAUGCGAGUCAGGUGUCUUCGGACGCCGGCAUACGGCUCAGUAACACGUAGGUAACCUACCCUCGGGACUGAGAUAACCCCGGGAAACUGGGGCUAAUAUUAGAUAGAUAAAAGAUACUGGAAUGUUCUUUUAUCCAAAGCUUUUGCGCCUGAGGAUGGGCCUGCGUCCGAUUAGGUUGUUGGUGGGGUAAUGGCCCACCAAGCCUGCGAUCGGUACGGGCAGUGGGAGCUGAAGCCCGGAGUUGGGGACUGAGACAAGGCCCCAGGCCCUACGGGGCGCAGCAGGCGCGAAACUCUUGCAUUGCGGGAACCGUGACAGGGGGAUCCCAAGUGCUCAUGCAUUGCAUGGGCUGUUCUUUGGGUCUAAGUAACCGAGGGAGU
rnacentral:rRNA from 1 species